rnacentral:rRNA from 1 species
GACAGAGGGUGCGAACGUUGUUCGGAAUUACUGGGCGUAAAGCGCGUGUAGGCGGCAAUGCAAGUCGGGCGUGAAAUCCCACGGCUCAACCGUGGAAGUGCACUCGAAACUGCAUAGCUAGAGUCCUGGAGAGGAAGGUGGAAUGCUUGGUGUAGAGGUGAAAUUCGUAGAUAUCAAGCGGAACACCGGUGGCGAAGGCGGCCUUCUGGACAGUGGCUGACGCUGAGACACGAAAGCGUGGGGAGCAAACAGG